CACGUAGGGUGCAAGCGUUGUCCGGAAUUACUGGGUGUAAAGGGAGCGCAGGCGGGAAGACAAGUUGGAAGUGAAAACCAUGGGCUCAACCCAUGAAUUGCUUUCAAAACUGUUUUUCUUGAGUAGUGCAGAGGUAGAUGGAAUUCCCGGUGUAGCGGUGGAAUGCGUAGAUAUCGGGAGGAACACCAGUGGCGAAGGCGGUCUACUGGGCACCAACUGACGCUGAGGCUCGAAAGCAUGGGUAGCAAACAGG
rnacentral:rRNA from 1 species